rnacentral:rRNA from 1 species
GACGAACGCUGGCGGCGUGCUUAACACAUGCAAGUCGAGCGGAAAGGCCCACUUGUGGGUACUCGAGCGGCGAACGGGUGAGUAACACGUGAGUAAUCUGCCCUCCACUCUGGGAUAACGUUCAGAAAUGGGUGCUAAUACCGGAUGUUCACGGCUUCUCGCAUGAGGGGUGGUGGAAAGGGUUUCUGGUGGGGGAUGUGCUCGCGGCCUAUCAGCUAGAAGGUGGGGUAAUGGCCUACCUUGGCUUUGACGGGUAGCCGGCCUGAGAGGGUGACCGGCCACACUGGGACUGAGACACGGCCCAGACUCCUACGGGAGGCAGCAGUGGGGAAAAUUGGACAAUGGGCGGAAGCCUGAUCCAGCAACGCCGCGUGAGGGAUGACGGCCUUCGGGUUGUAAACCUCUUUCACCAUUGACGAAGCUGCUCAUUUUUGUGGGUGGUGACGGUAGGUGGGGAAGAAGCACCGGCCAACUACGUGCCAGCAGCCGCCGUAAAAC